GACGUAGGAUGCAAGCAUUGUCCGGAUUUAUUGGGCGUAAAGAGUUCGUAGGCGGUUUGUUAAGUCUAAUGUUAAAGAUCGGGGCUCAACCUCGGGACUGCAUUGGAUACUGGCAGACUGGAGUGUGGUAGAGGUAAGUGGAAUUUCUGGUGUAGCGGUGAAAUGCGUAGAUAUCAGGAAGAACACCAGUGGCGUAGGCGACUUACUGGGCCAUAACUGACGCUGAGGAACGAAAGCCAGGGGAGCAAAUGGG
rnacentral:rRNA from 2 species